GAAUGAACGAACGAGCACUGACUCAAGGCCGGCCACCAGGGGGAAACAUCCAGGCGAUGUCACAUUUAAUCUGCAGGGCACCUGUAUGUGGUAAGUGCUACCACUGGCCCUAUUUUACAGAUGGNNNNNNNNNNNNNNNNNNNNNNNNNUCCCAGGCCUGUCUGGUCUGCCUGUGCCCCCGAGGCCCGAACCUUGUGCAGCGGAAACACUUCUCAGCGCAGUCCGGGGUGUCGCAGUAGAAGCUGCCCUGCUGGCACUGGCACUGCCGGUCGCUGACCCGUGAGCAGUUCGUCACCACCUCCUGAUCUGCGAGAGGGAGAGCUGAGGGUCAGUCACCCGGGGCCACGUCCAGCUGCUGGGUGGCAGCCACAGAAUCUGCACUCAGCCUCCCUUCUCAAACAGGGACGGAGAGGAGGGAACAGCCAGACCGUGUCCCCCGCCAUCAGGGUGUCCACAGAGAGGCUGAUGGGUGACCCCAGGACCUGGGGGCUUCGCAGAGACCAGUGGCUACCCCUGAAAUGUGGGGUGGGGGCCAGAUGCAACCCCUCCGACAUAUCCCCCUAUUUUUCUCUUCAUCUCAUUUGCCCACAAAGGACUCCCCUCCUGCGUGCUCGUGCGAGGAACACGUCAGAGCGAGCAGUGGACAGCAGAGAAGCCCUGACCCCCGGCCGCCAGCGACGCCUCUGCGGUCACGCCGACGCCGCCCUGCCAGAGCGCUCGUCCACACCCGCCAGACAGGCGCAGGGUGGACAGCAUGACGAGUGGACGGUCCCGUGGGGAAUUUCACAGGGAACGCACUGAUCGGAGAAUCAUUCCACGCAGGACUGACAUCGUACUCACGAUCAUCUUGUCUCGCUCUGCAUGUUUAGAGUUUCUUAAAUGCUGCUUGUUCACAUAAAUGUUCACACAUCCUUUGCUACAUUUAGUCCAAAGUAUCUUAUAUUUUUGGUUUUUGUUAAUACAAAUGGCAUAUUUUUUUAAAGUUACAAACAAGUUUGGGAAUAUAGAGAGAUUUAGAUGAACUUCCGUAUAUUAUUCUGGUACGUGGCAACUCUGAGAGCCUGCGCCCACGGAGAUGGACCCUUUCACCAUCUACACGGUUCAUCGUAUAAAACACACCGCGGCUGAGGGCUACGGUGGCAGCUCAGUUGCUGUGUCAUCUGUCAUCAUGCCCUUUGGGGCGAUUUCUACAAGCCGGUCGAAGGGCCCCUAUUUGAAAACCAAAGGACUCCCGGAGCCUGACUGUAGUCCACUUACCCUCCCGGCACUGGGCACACGGCAGGCAGCUGGUCAUCCCCGUGGGGUGGGCAGUGAAGGUUCCAGGCU
rnacentral:lncRNA from 1 species